UUCGUAUGCUUACCUUCCUGCAUGUCUCAGCCAGGUUUGUGACAGGAGUUGGAUACCAGAUAAUUAAGGGUUGACUAAAGUAUAAUGUUUUCUGGAGCGGAUUAAAACUAGAUACGAAGAGCACACGUCUGACUUCAGCCAGGUCACGAUCUCG